CGGCCAUACCAUACCGAUACCGAUAUAUACCGAUUCUCGUUAGAUCACCGAAGUCAAGCAUCAUUGGGCGCGGUCAGUACUUGGGUGGGUGACCACCUGGGAACACCGCGUGCCGUU